rnacentral:rRNA from 1 species
ACGAACGCUGGCGGCGUGGAUUAGGCAUGCAAGUCGAACGCGAACGGUUUCCUUCGGGGAACUAAGUAGAGUGGCGAACGGGUGAGUAACGCGUAGGUAAUCUACCUUUAUGUGGGGGAUAGCCCCGGGAAACCGGGAUUAAUACCGCAUGUGAACCUUCGGGAAAGAAGGCCUCUAUUUAUAAGCUUUCGCAUAGAGAUGAGCCUGCGUCCUAUUAGCUAGUUGGUAAGGUAAUGGCUUACCAAGGCAUUGAUAGGUAGGCGGCUUUAACGAGUGGUCGCCCACACUGGGAUUGAGAUACGGCCCAGACUCCUACGGGAGGCAGCAGUCGAGAAUAGUCUACAAUGGGGGAAACCCUGAUAGUGCGACGCCGCGUGUAUGAAGAAGCACUUCGGUGUGUAAAAUACUUUUAUGAGUGAGCAAUAUUUUGUAUAAGAAAUUAUGCAAGAGACGAUAUUAUCUCAGGAAUAAGCCACGGCUAAUUCCGUGCCAGCAGCCGCGGUAAUACGGGAGUGGCGAGCGUUGUCCGGAUUUACUAGGCGUAAAGGGCAAGUAGGCGGAGUUAUAAGUCUUAUGUUAAAGGCAUCAGCUCAACUGAUGUAAGGCACGAGAUACUGUAAUUCUAGAGUAAGUGAGAUGUAGCUGGAAUUUCCGGUGUAGCGCUGAAAUGCGUAGAGAUCGGAAGGAACAUCAGUGGCGAAGGCGGCCUACAGGUGCAUUACUGACGCUGAAUUGCGAAGGUGCGGGUAUCGAACAGGAUUAGAUACCCUGGUAGUCCGCACAGUAAACGAUAUACACUAGGUGUUGGUAUGGAGAACAUAUCAGUGCCGUAGCUAACGGCAUUAAGUGUAUCGCCUGGGGAGUACGAUCGCAAGGUUUAAACUCAAAGGAAUUGACGGGGGCCCGCACAAGCGGUGGAGCAUGUGGUUUAAUUCGAUGCAACGCGAAGAACCUUACCUGGGCUUGACAUCCUAAGAAUCUUUUAGAGAUAAGAGAGUGCCUUUCGGGAACUUAGUGACAGGUGCUGCAUGGCUGUCGUCAGCUCGUGUCGUGAGAUGUUGGGUUAAGUCCCGCAACGAGCGCAACCCCUAUCUUUAGUUACCAUCAUUCAGUUGGGGACUCUAGAGAGACUGCCAGUGUAAUAAACUGGAGGAAGGUGGGGACGACGUCAAGUCAUCAUGGUCCUUAUGCCCAGGGCUACACACGUGCUACAAUGGCCGGAAUAGAGGGUUGCGAAGCCGCGAGGUGAAGCUAAUCUCCGAAACCCGGUCUCAGUUCGGAUUGGAGUCUGCAACUCGACUCCAUGAAGUUGGAAUCGCUAGUAAUCGCGUAUCAGCAUGACGCGGUGAAUACGUUCCCGGGCCUUGUACACACCGCCCGUCAAGUCAGCCGAGUUGAUUGCACCCGAAGAAGGUGAGCUAACCGCAAGGAGGCAGCUUUCGAAGGUGUGAUUAGCAAGGGGGACUAAGUCGGAACAAGGUAGCCGUA